AUUGAACGCUGGCGGCAGGCCUAACACAUGCAAGUCGAACGAGUGGCGGACGGGUGAGUAAUGUCUGGGAAACUGCCCGAUGGAGGGGGAUAAUUACUGGAACCGGUGGCUAAUACCGCAUACAACAGGAUGUACCAAUAUGGGAUUAGCUAGUAGGUGGGGUAAUGGCUCACCUAGGCGACGAUCCCUAGCUGGUCUGAGAGGAGGACCAGCCACACUGGAACUGAGACACGGUCCAGACUCCUACGGGAGGCAGCAGUGGGGAAUAUUGCACAAUGGGCGCAAGCCUGAUGCAGCCAUGCCGCGUGUAUGAAGAAGGCCUUAGGGUUGUAAAGUACUUUCAGCGGGGAGGCGUUACCCGCAGAAGAAGCACCGGCUAACUCCGUGCCAGCAGCCGCGGUAAUAC
rnacentral:rRNA from 1 species